GAUGAACGCUGGCGGCGUGCCUAAUACAUGCAAGUCGAGCGAACAGACGAGGAGCUUGCUCCUCUGACUUUAGCGGCGGACGGGUGAGUAACACGGGGAUAACCUACCUAUAAGACUGGGAUAACUUCGGGAAACCGGAGCUACUACCGGAUAAUAUAUUGAACCGCAUGGUUCAAUAGUGAAAGACGGUUUUGCUGUCACUUAUAGAUGGAUCCGCGCCGCAUUAGCUAGUUGGUAAGGUAACGGCUUACCAAGGCGACGAUGGGUAGCCGACCUGAGAGGGUGAUUGGCCACAUGGGAACUGAGACAGGGUCCAGACUCCGACGGUGGGCAGCAGUAGGGAAUCUUCCGCAAUGGGCGAAAGCCGGACGGAGCAACGCCGCGUGAGUGAUGAAGGUCUUCGGAUCGUAAAACUCUGUUAUUAGGGAAGAAGAAAUGUGUAAGUAACUAUGCACGUCUUGACGGUACCUAAUCAGAAAGCCACGGCUAACUACGUG
rnacentral:rRNA from 1 species